rnacentral:rRNA from 1 species
UACGUAGGGGGCUAGCGUUGUCCGGAUUUAUUGGGCGUAAAGGGCGCGUAGGCGGCCUGCUAAGUCGAACGUGAAAUCCCCGGGCUCAACCCGGGAACUGCGUCCGAUACUGGUUGGCUUGAAUCCGGGAGAGGGAUGUGGAAUUCCAGGUGUAGCGGUGAAAUUCGUAGAUAUCGGGAGGAACACCUGUGGCGAAGGCGGCCAUCUGGACGAUAACUGACGCUGAGACGCGAAAGCGUGGGUAGCAAACAGG